AUUUAACGCUGGCGGCAGGCCUAACACAUGCAAGUCGAGCGGAGCGGCGGACGGGUGAGUAAUGCCUAGGAAUCUGCCUGGUAGUGGGGGAGAACGACCGGCAACGGGCGCUAAUACUGCUUACUAUCACAGGAGCCUAGGUCGGAUGAGCUAGUUGGUGGGUUAAAGGCCUACCAAGGCGACGAUCCGUAGCUGGUCUGAGAGGAUGAGCAGUCACACUGGAACUGAGACACGGGCCAGAUUCCUACGGGAGGCAGCAGUGGGGAAUAUUGCACAAUGGGCGCAAGCCUGAUCCAGCCAUGCCGCGUGUGUGAAGAAGGUCUUCGGAUUGUAAAGCACUUUAAGUUGGGAGGCGUUACCAACAGAAUAAGCACCGGCUAACUUCGUGCCAGCAGCCGCGGUAAUUC
rnacentral:rRNA from 1 species